UCCGACAAAGGUUCCUGCAGCGAGAGUGUCGUAAUGCGCCAUUAACGGAUCGCCCUCGGCUACCGGAUUUCGAUUCGAAGUGGCAAUGUAGGUGUGACCGGCGUAUUCUCUCGGAUGCUCGGCUAUAAUGGGGGGUGCACUUCUGGUCGAGUAGGUCGUCGCGGCCGUUUUGAGGGUGUCGAUGACACGAGGGUCAGGGAAAUCGCAUCUUCUCGGCGGUUGUGAGCGUCACCCUAUUAAUUUAGGGUCGUCGCUAUCCACCGUCGCGUGGUGCGAGGCCGCCUCGUUAGUUCUGACGGCCCUCGGGACGGUUAAAUCAUGGUUAAAGCGGCCUGGUAGCACGGGUGUUCGUAACCCUCUCGUGCUCGCUUUCUUUAAUUAGAUUGCGAGUGGAAGGAUACUGUACCCACUAAGAUGCACUGGGCGUCGCUACGCGGCGUUCGGCAGUUGGCGAUGGCUUACUCGUCCCGUCUUGAAACACGGACCAAGGAGUCUAGACUAUGCGCGAGUCAAAGGGCUGGCUAAACCCUAAGGCGAAACGAAAGUGAAUUCUUUUCAUUGGGCCGAUCCGGUUCGGUGAAGGAUUCGGGGUUCUCGCCCCGUUUUCUGACCCGAUUUGUCGUCUUAAUAUGCGGACGGCGCAGGCCCGGGGCCCGCAUACGCGACCUCUCCGCCGUAUGAAGGCUAGGUUGAUCCCAGCCAUUGGCAUUGCUCUGAAAGGGGAUUGUCGUGUCGUUCGCGUAGCUGGGGGUCGUUUGUCUUAGUCGUAGUGGUAGUAGCAGCAGUUCUGCUGUUGUUGCUGCCCCUGCUUCUUCUGCAUCGACAUUCCCGUACGCGUUUCCGUUCGACGUUUCUUCCUCGCAUAGGGGCUUCGCAUUUGGUGGACUUCCCGCUGGCGGAGACGAGCUGCGGGUUCUCUGAGCGCAUAGUCUGGUACCCGAAAGAUGGUGAACUAUGCCUGGCCAGGAUGAAGCCAGAGGAAACUCUGGUGGAAGUCCGUAGCGAUUCUGACGUGCAAAUCGAUCGUCUGAGCUGGCA
rnacentral:rRNA from 1 species